rnacentral:rRNA from 1 species
UGAACAUAACGUAUGCCCGUGGCGGCGGCGGGAACAGACGGCACCGUAACACGGGCCGACGACGCCAGAGGACCCCCUAACUCGGUUUCUCUGAUGUUUCUUCUGAGUAAUCAAGCUUUUAACUUGGAACUUUCGACUACGGAUCUCUUAACUAUGGCCUAGAUGCAAGAACGCAGCGAAAUGCGAUAAGUAGUGUGAAUUGCAGAAUUGAGUGCAUCAUCGAAUCCUUGAACGCGCAUUGCGCCCGCUAGUAUGCUGGCGGGCAUGCGCGUGCGAGCGUCAUUGGGACACUCAGGCCCCCGGGCGUGGCGUGGGGAUCGGCGGAAGCCCCGUGCGGGCACAACGCCGUCCCCAAAUACAGUGGCGGUCCCGCCGCAGCUGCAUUGCGUAGUCGCUAACAACUCGCACUGGAGAGCGGCGCGGCCACGCCGUAAACACCCAACUUCUGAAUGUGACCUCGAAUAAGGAUAAGAAAUCCCGCUGAACUUAGCAUAUCAAUAAGCGGAGGAAA